GAUGAACGCUGGCGGCGUGCCUAAUACAUGCAAGUCGAGCGGUAAGGCCACUUCGGUGGUACACGAGCGGCGGACGGCUGAGUAACACGUAGGAACAUACCCCAAACUGAGGGAUAAGCAUCGGAAACGAUGUCUAAUACCGCAUGUGCUCUUCGGAGUAAAGCUACGGCGGUUUGGGAAUGGCCUGCGCAUGAUUAGCUUGUUGGUGAGGUAAUGGCUCACCAAGGCGACGAUCAUUAGCUGGUCUGAGAGGAUGAUCAGCCAGACUGGGACUGAGAACGGCCCAGACUCCUACGGGAGGCAGCAGUAGGGAAUUUUCCACAAUGGGCGAAAGCCUGAUGGAGCAACGCCGCGUGCAGGAUGAAUGCCUUCGGGUUGUAAACUGCUUUUAUAUGUGACGAUUAUGACGGUAGCAUAUGAAUAAGGAUCGGCUAACUCCGUGCCAGCCGCCGCAGUAAAAC
rnacentral:rRNA from 1 species